rnacentral:rRNA from 1 species
GAUGAACGCUGGCGGCGUGCCUAACACAUGCAAGUCGAGCGAGUGAGUUCUUCGGAACGAUCUAGCGGCGGACGGGUGAGUAACACGUGGGCAACCUGCCUCAUAGAGGGGAAUAGCCUCCCGAAAGGGAGAUUAAUACCGCAUAAAAUUAUCGAGUGGCAUCACAUGACAAUCAAAGGAGUAAUCCGCUAUGAGAUGGGCCCGCGGCGCAUUAGCUAGUUGGUGAGGUAACGGCUAACCAAGGCGACGAUGCGUAGCCGACCUGAGAAGGUGAUCGGCCACAUUGGGACUGAGACACGGCCCAGACUCCUACGGGAGGCAGCAGUGGGGAAUAUUGCACAAUGGGGGAAACCCUGAUGCAGCAACGCCGCGUGAGUGAUGAAGGUCUUCGGAUUGUAAAGCUCUGUCUUUGGGGACGAUAAUGACGGUACCCAAGGAGGAAGCCACGGCUAACUACGUGCCAGCCGCCGCGGUAA